rnacentral:tRNA from 2 species
GGCGCGUUCGUCUAGCGGCUUAGGACGCCGCCCUCUCAAGGCGGAGAUCACGGGUUCGAAUCCCGUACGCGCUA